AGCGAACGCUGGCGGCAGGCCUAACACAUGCAAGUCGAACGAACUCUUCGGAGUUAGUGGCGGACGGGUGAGUAACACGUGGGAACGUGCCUUUAGGUUCGGAAUAACUCAGGGAAACUUGUGCUAAUACCGAAUGUGCCCUUCGGGGGAAAGAUUUAUCGCCUUUAGAGCGGCCCGCGUCUGAUUAGAUAGUUGGUGAGGUAAAGGCUCACCAAGGCGACGAUCAGUAGCUGGUCUGAGAGGAUGAUCAGCCACAUUGGGACAGAGACACGGCCCAAACUCCUACGGGAGGCAGCAGUGGGGAAUCUUGCGCAAUGGGCGAAAGCCUGACGCAGCCAUGCCGCGUGAAUGAUGAAGGUCUUAGGAUUGUAAAAUUCUUUCACCGGGGACGAUAAUGACGGUACCCGGAGAAGAAGCCCCGGCUAACUUCGUGCCAGCAGCCGCCGUAA
rnacentral:rRNA from 1 species